UGGGCAAGCCCAUUGUCAUGGUGACAGGAGAUGAGCUGGAUAUCACUGAGAUGGCUGCAAGAAGUGGCAUGACGACAUGAAUUCAUGGGACCGGCAGCCAUGUUUGCGGAGUUGGAAAGUACGCAGUCAAUUGUCACCGGUGGCGACUCGGCUAAUCAAACUCAUGAGACUGACUGCAACAGCGAGCCGGAGGGAGGACAUCAUCGCGAAAAAAAGGCUCCUGGAAAGAACAAUUAUCCUGACGCGCUACAUUAGCGGCGCUCGCGCGUCAACACCGAAAUGAACCCCGGCUUAACCCGUCGUCGUUGUCCUCGUUCCUCCUCUCUUCCUCGCCGUAAUCACAAACCCGAGAGGACACGCUGCCCUGUCAUCCCGAGCGGAGGGGGGGGGAAGUGAGCUUUUGUACAAAAUGCACGGAAGGUGAGCUGCUUGUCCGUCAUCAUCACAUACGCAUCCAGCAACAUGCAUAAAACCGACGUGGACCGUACGUCAGCU